CGGGACCGGGCCGGGCCGGGCCUGCCCGUGCUCCGCGGAGGUGCGUGCCCGUGCACAGCGCAGCGAGGAGGCCCCCGCGCCGCCCCAGCCUCAGCAAAAGCACCGCCCGAGACGUGGGGCUGCCCUGGGACCUGCCGAGGGGUCUCUAGUCCAGCCCCUCCUGUCCAAACCACGCCCGAUCUGAACUCUGCACGGGACUCCCCUACGUACUGCGCCUACGCUGCCACGGGGAAAGCAGCCAAGUCCUACUUCUAGAAAAGGCGGUCAGUGCGUGCCCGGGAGAUCCCAGCCCCGGCUAGGGAGGAAGGCAAACUGCCCUCGCCUCCGCCCCCCAGUCUGUACCAAUCUGACCACGCUGAUGUUUAUCUGCAUUUCUGAAGUAAGAAAAAAGAGCCAGGCCUCCUCAUCUCAAGCAAUCAGAGAGGAGCAGGUAGUGACUCCAAGGCUCCAGCGAACUCCAGAUGAGGUGUCCACUUCCCAGAAAUGCCUGCCUGCAGAAAAGGACACCGAACCUUCUUCUUGGCCAACAUGGGUUGGUCCUCCUUUCUUCAGAAGCCAGACAUUCUUCCUCUAUGCCUGGGAUUAAGGAUCACUUAAGAGCAAGGGGAGCACGUCUCCACCAAAUUUACUAUAUCAGGAACUGCUGCCCUGAAAAACUCCUUGUUCUUCAAGCAUAGAACACACUGUCUCCUUAGCGACCCCCAACCCUUACAAGCAACAGAUCAAAAUCCAGUGCAACAUGUGGCAGGGCACAUGUGGAUGCCAUAAAAGCACCGGACCAGCAACUGAAGACAAACUUCUACUGUUCAGUUUAAGGAAACCUUCCCAACAUUCACCCGUCAUAGGAGGUGAACCACCAUAACGUCUGCAGCAGCAGAGUAACAAAGGGAUUUCAGCAACCAAAGAUGUCUUUAAAAAUAUGUACGUGACCUUAUUAGAGAACUGGCUGAAGGGUGUUUGUUAUAAAAAUGUGUAAUCAACCAUGCAUUGUGUGCCUUGAGAUGGGAACUGAGAUGACAACCCAGUCCACCCAUACUGUACUACUUCCAGUUCACUUUGCUACACAGGAACCUCUAUAAAGCUAAGCUAAACAUGCAGGUUGGAUAUCAUGAAAAAACUCUCUUAAUCAUGAGAUUGGUUAGAUGCUGGAAAAGUCUCCCCAGAGAAGCAGAAGACCUCCCAAGAUAUAUAAUCAAGAACAGUCCUGCACAAAGGGGCAGGGGAGCCAUGCACAGUGCAACAAGGGGGAGAACACAAAGACUCCUAAGUCCUAGCCGCCUUGUUCAGAUACAAAGAAAUCUGGAAUUAAGUAAAUCCAGGACUGCUUAUUGGAAGGGAUGAAAAGGGCAGAUGCCAAGGAUACUGAAAAUGGGGCAGCUUCAGAAGCCACAUGUCUGUACAAUGAACAUUUUAGGUAUGGUGAUUCCUGGCUUAUUACAAUUAACUUUGUAUCUAAUAAAAAUUCCAUUCAAACUGGGCAGCCCUGACAGCAACUAGUACCUGUAUAUUUGCAAAUGGAUAAAAACAGUGAUCCUGCAUUUUUGCUAACACAUUGAUAAUUCAAAAGCAUAAAACAAAUGCAACAAUGUAAUAUUUGCU